UAAUAAGUGUUUUAUGGCACUUUAAAAUCCAUAUCCACCUUGUGUGCAAUGUCGGCCUGAUCACAUCCCAGCAAUGGGUGUGUGAAAGGUUUCAUUCAUCCACAUCAAAUUGGUUUUUCUUUAGUCUACAUUCUUUGAGUAAUAAAAAACAAAACUCAAAUA
rnacentral:misc_RNA from 1 species